AUGGACACAGAGUGCCGCGGGCCGCAGCAGGGGGGCUCGUCGUGCUGGGCGACGGGCGCGGCGGCUUGGAGUUCAUCGCAGCAGAAGCGCCAGCGGUGCGAGGGUUCUUCCAGCGACCAAGUUGGAUCCAGCACAAGUGCUUCUGUGCAAAUGACUGAAUCAGAGCUACCAGAUACUGAUUACGUAGAAAAUGAGGAAGAGGAUUACUAUAUGGAUGAUGAUGAUGAUGAUUGUGAUGAUGACAACGGCGAUGACUCUGAAUAUGAAUUUGAUGAAGCUGACUUUAAUCAGCAGCUUGCUGAUAAAUUUGAUGAUUUAGAUCUGCCUCCAGGUGUGGAGGCUACUGUACCAUGGCUUCAGAAACUUGCAGCCAAUGACGAGCAGGACGGAGCGUCAGAUGAGUUAGUUGAGGAUGAAAUUACAAGGAAAUAUAAGGCAUUUCAACAAUUCUACACUGUUCAAAAUUUCUCUGACCACCAUUAUGCUAAUAAAUCAGUGGGGAAGACAAGCAGGGAAUGGGCAAAGAGAAUUCAACAUGACUGGAAACUUUUAGAGAAAGAUCUACCAGCUUCUAUCUUUGUCCGUGUUGCUGAAGAUAGAAUGGAUCUUCUUAGGGCUGCGAUUAUUGGCCCUAAGGGAACACCCUAUCAUGAUGGUCUCUUCUUCUUUGAUGCACAUUUUACCUCUAAUUAUCCUUCAGAGCCUCCGUUGGUGUAUUACCAUUCUGGAGGGCUUCGACUUAAUCCGAACUUGUAUAAUUGUGGAAAAGUCUGCCUUAGCCUCCUUGGUACCUGGAGUGGUAGUGGUUGCGAGAAGUGGAACUCAGCUCACUCAACCAUGCUGCAGGUGCUUGUGUCCAUUCAGGCUCUCAUUUUGAAUGAGAAGCCAUACUUCAAUGAACCGGGAUAUGCAGGCUCUGCGAAUACCGCAACUGGACAACAGCAUUCUGUAGAGUAUAACAAGAACACAUUUCUGCACUCCUGUAGGACUAUGCUGUAUUCACUUAGAAGGCCUCCGGAGCACUUUGGAGACCUUGUCGCCGGCCACUUCCGGGAACGUGGACGCACCAUUCUGGCAGCAUGCAAACACUACCUAGAGGGUAACAUGGUUGGAUCGGAGGUCCCCGAAGAGGAAGAAGUGGAAUACGACGGCACUGGAGCAUCUAGCAGCAGCAGCAGCAGCAGUGUACCAAAGAAGCAAGAAGUGAUGAGGGUGGAUCCACUGGGUAGGCGCACUCAGUUCAUUGACAACCUCAAGACGCUGUUUGAAGAUCUUCUGAUGGAGUUCAACGUGAAGGGCGCUGACACUAGGAAGUUCCUGGAAGACAAGGUGAAGAAGAACCUGCCCGCAGCCUGA
rnacentral:rRNA from 1 species